CACGUGUGCCGAAUACAACAGCCGAAUAAGUGAAAUGCUUACUUACAGGCCCUAACCAACAGUGAUCUUUAAGUAAAAAAUAGGUAUUAGGUGAACAAUAGAUAAGUAAAGAAAUAAAAAAACAACAGUAAAAAGACAGUGAAUAAUAACAGUAGCGGGCUAUAUACAGUAGAGAGGCUAUAUACAGUAGAGAGGCUAUAUACAGUAGUGAGGUUAUAUACAGUAGCGGGGCUAUAUACAGUAGAGAGGAUAUAUACAGUAGAGAGGCUAUAUACAGUAGAGAGGCUAUAUACAGUAGUGAGGCUAUAUACAGUAGAGAGGCUAUAUACAGUAGAGAGGCUAUAUACAGUAGAGAGGCUAUAUACAGUAGAGAGGCUUUAUACAGUAGAGAGGCUAUAUACAGUAGCGAGGCUAUAUACAGUAGAGAGACUAUAUACAGUAGCGAGGCUAUAUAUGGGUAUUAUUUGACAUUACAUUAUAACUACAUAAUAAUAACCAUUUUAUUGAUCUUAUAAUUUCCCCCAUCUUGGCCUGAUCUAGUGAUACUCAUUUCUACAGUAUUUUUCUGACAAUUUGCCAUUUAGAAUGGAUAAUUUCUCCCCUCAUUUCACUCUCUCAGCUUUUGAUACAUGGGAGAGAUGCUGUUAUAGAAACCUCCCUGAU
ensembl:lncRNA